UUUUGCAACAGUUGCAACUUGUCUUUGAGUGCAGGGACAGGAGAAGUGUGGGCUACCCGGCCACUGCCCUGGAGCUGUGGCGACUGCUGCGUUUUUCUCCCAUGCACCUGCACGUCCAGGACUCCUGGGAGAACUUGGGCCACACUCCUUCCUUGCCCUCUUGAGCUCGUUCGUCACCCUGUUGGGUGAGCACAGCCCUAGCUCAGGCCGCUGAGCAAGCCACGCCAUCCAAAGAGGAGAUCCUCUGCCCCAGGACCCCCACACCACCCCAGGGCACCAAUUCUGGGGGCUCCUGGAAGACUGUGGACCUUCAAGGACUGAAGCUGCCUGUUUUGCUGAGGCCCGGAGCCCCCAUGGCCUCACUGAGCCGAGCCCUACGUGUGGCUGCUGCCCACCCUCGCCAGAGCCCUACCCGGGGCAUGGGGCCAUGCAACCUAUCCAGCGCAGCUGGCCCCACAGCCGAGAAGAGUGUGCCAUAUCAGCGGACCCUGAAGGAGGGACAAGGCACCUCGGUGGUGGCCCAAGGCCCAAGCCGGCCCCUGCCCAGCACAGCCAACGUGGUGGUCAUUGGUGGAGGCAGCUUGGGCUGCCAGACCCUGUACCACCUGGCCAAGCUGGGCAUGAGUGGGGCGGUGCUGCUGGAGCGGGAGCGGCUGACCUCUGGGACCACCUGGCACACGGCAGGCCUGCUGUGGCAGCUGCGGCCCAGUGACGUGGAGGUGGAGCUUCUGGCCCACACUCGGCGGGUGGUGAGCCGGGAGCUGGAGGAGGAGACCGGACUACACACGGGCUGGAUCCAGAAUGGGGGCCUCUUCAUCGCGUCCAACCGGCAGCGCCUGGACGAGUACAAGAGGCUCAUGUCGCUGGGCAAGGUGUAUGGUGUGGAAUCCCAUGUGCUGAGCCCGGCAGAGACCAAGACUCUGUACCCGCUGAUGAAUGUGGACGACCUCUACGGGACCCUGUAUGUGCCGCACGACGGUACCAUGGACCCCGCUGGCACCUGUACCACCCUCGCCAGGGCAGCUUCUGCCCGAGGAGCACAGGUCAUUGAGAACUGCCCAGUGACCGGCAUUCGUGUGUGGACGGAUGAUUUUGGGGUGCGGCGGGUCGCGGGUGUGGAGACUCAGCAUGGUUCCAUCCAGACACCCUGCGUGGUCAACUGUGCAGGAGUGUGGGCAAGUGCUGUGGGCCGGAUGGCUGGAGUCAAGGUCCCGCUGGUGGCCAUGCACCAUGCCUAUGUCGUCACCGAGCGCAUCGAGGGGAUUCAGAACAUGCCCAAUGUCCGUGAUCACGAUGCCUCUGUCUACCUCCGCCUCCAAGGGGAUGCCUUGUCUGUGGGUGGCUAUGAGGCCAACCCCAUCUUUUGGGAGGAGGUGUCAGACAAGUUUGCCUUCGGCCUCUUUGACCUGGACUGGGAGGUGUUCACCCAGCACAUUGAAGGCGCCAUCAACAGGGUCCCCGUGCUGGAGAAGACAGGAAUCAAGUCCACGGUCUGCGGCCCUGAAUCCUUCACGCCCGAUCACAAGCCCCUGAUGGGGGAGGCACCUGAGCUCCGAGGGUUCUUCCUGGGCUGUGGCUUCAACAGCGCAGGAAUGAUGCUGGGUGGUGGCUGUGGGCAGGAGCUGGCCCACUGGAUCAUCCGUGGGCGCCCGGAGAAGGACAUGCAUGGCUAUGACAUCAGGCGCUUCCAUCACUCGCUCACGGACCACCCCCGCUGGAUCCGAGAGCGAAGCCAUGAGUCCUACGCCAAGAACUACUCCGUCGUCUUCCCCCACGAUGAGCCGCUGGCCGGGCGCAACAUGAGGAGAGACCCGCUGCACGAGGAACUCCUUGGACAAGGCUGCGUGUUCCAGGAGCGGCACGGCUGGGAGCGACCGGGAUGGUUUCAUCCCCGAGGCCCAGCUCCGGUCCUCGAGUACGACUACUACGGGGCUUACGGGAGCCGCGCGCACGAGGACUACGCCUACCGCAGGCUGCUGGCAGACGAGUACACCUUCGCCUUCCCGCCCCACCACGACGCGAUCAAGAAGGAGUGCCUGGCCUGCAGAGGGGCCGCCGCUGUGUUUGACAUGUCCUACUUCGGGAAGUUCUACCUGGUGGGGCUGGAUGCAAGGAAGGCUGCCGACUGGCUCUUCUCUGCAGAUGUCAGCCGAACCCCAGGCUCCACCGUGUACACGUGCAUGCUCAACCACCGUGGGGGCACCGAGAGUGACCUGACUGUCAGCCGCCUGGCACCCAGCCACCAGGCCUCCCCGCUGGCCCCCGCCUUUGAAGGGGACGGUUACUACCUGGCCGUGGGCGGGGCCGUGGCCCAGCACAACUGGUCCCACAUCACCACCGUGCUGCAGGACCAGAAGUUCCAGUGCCAGCUCAUCGACAGCUCCGAGGACCUGGGCAUGAUCAGCAUCCAGGGCCCAGCCAGCCGAGCCAUUUUGCAGGAGGUGCUGGACGCAGACCUGAGCAACGAGGCCUUCCCGUUCUCCACCCACAAGCUACUGAGAGCCGCAGGGCACCUGGUCCGAGCCAUGCGGCUGUCCUUCGUGGGGGAGCUGGGCUGGGAGCUGCACAUUCCAAAGGCGUCCUGCGUGCCUGUGUACAGGGCUGUGAUGGCUGCGGGUGCCAAGCACGGCCUCAUCAACGCAGGGUACCGCGCCAUCGACUCCCUGAGCAUUGAGAAAGGCUACCGGCACUGGCACGUGGACCUGCGGCCAGAUGACAGCCCCCUGGAGGCAGGUCUGGCCUUCACCUGCAAGCUCAAGUCGCCGGUGCCCUUCCUGGGGAGGGAGGCCCUGGAGCAGCAGCGGGCCGCAGGCCUCCGCCGGCGCCUGGUGUGCUUCACCAUGGAGGAGCCGCUGUGGACGCGUCCCCACCCUGCGGUUUCUGGGGCCCCAGCUUUCUCUACUGCUUCUUCCAGCAAAGUACCCAUGUUUGGCCUGGAGGCCAUCUGGAGGAACGGCCAAGUGGUGGGCCAUGUCCGGAGGGCUGACUUUGGGUUCGCCAUCGACAAGACCAUCGCCUACGGUUACAUCCAUGACCCCAGCGGUGGGCCGGUCUCGCUGGACUUUGUGAAGAGCGGGGACUAUGCCCUGGAGAGAAUGGGGGUGACCUAUGGUGCCCGGGCUCACCUGAAGUCGCCCUUCGACCCCAACAACAAGAGGGUGAAGGGAAUCUACUGAGGGCUCAGACCCCAUGCCCCAUCCCAUGCUGUCCAUCCAUUCUCACAGGUCCCAAAUGGCCCUGGGUCCCAGGACCCUGGACCCAGCCAGAACUUGUGCCCUCCCUGUCCUUAGCCUAGGCCUAGUCCUGCGAAAACCCCCAAACCAGAUACGGACAGAGACCAAGAUGGCCCAUCCUGUGGUCACUGACUGGAAGGCAGUCUCUAAUCCACCCCAAUCCUCCCAGAAAGCAAACCUGCUUGACUGAUCGGUGGCGGGCUUCCCUGGGGCACUUGGCUGAAGAGCAUGAGGCUGUGUCUGGGUCAGGAAAGAGAGGUGAUCAACUGGCAUUGUCUGCCACAGCGCACAUGGAGGCCUGGGACCAAGGCCAUUCUUCAGGAUGGUGCCUCUCGGCUCUCAGGUCGGAACAGGAGCUGGAAAGCUCUUCUUACCUUGCUCGACCUCCCUGUUCUUCAGGUGGCAAAGCCUCCUGAGAGUCGGCAGCCGGGGAACACAGAGGAGCCGAAGCAGGGAGCGGGCGGGGCCUCAGAUUGGUGCCCUCCUCACCCACACAGAAGUGCCAGCUCCUGCCUCAGUUUCCCCUUGAGCCCCUCGCUCACCAGGCCCAGGCAGGAGGGACGUGCUGCUGGGUAAGAGUCUGGUGGAGUCCCCCUUUCUAGGUGACCUUUGUCUUUGCUGUUGAUUUGGAUGCGGUUCCUGCCCAUGCCCUCCUCCUUGUCUGGCCCUUGCAGGAGGACCCUCUCUUAGGCUCUGCCCUGCACGCUGCCUUGAGAUGGGGUGGCUCCUCUGCCCACCUUCUCUUCCCCCCGAUAACUGCCUGUGUGUCAGAAGCAGCUCUGCCUCUCCUGCCUGGGAGGGGUGUGCAUCUCUGUCCAUCCCACGUGCUCAGUCCCCUCCCUUGUCCCCCCGAGCCCAGGUUCAGAUCAGGCCCGUCAGAGCGGCACUGCGCAGUCUUGCCAGGCAUGCCCUGCAAUCUGGGAAGAGCGGGAGGCAGAUGCUUGAGGGUAUUGUGGAGCCGGGGCCCCACAGAGCCACACACACAGCAAACGGCGAUCUGGGGGCAGCAGUCCUGGCAGGCCCCAGCUGCCACUGGACGCUCCCAGGCCACGCGGCCCACUGUGUACUGAGCUCGAACAAAGCUGUGGGCAGACGUUUGGGUUACAGAUGGCUAUGAAAAGUGGGUUUGGCCUCCUGAGUCUGGGGAGGGGGCUGCGGCUGGAGACCAGGGUGGGGGCUGUUGGCUUUCACACGCUUCAGGCUGAAGGAACACCUGCAGCCUCCCCUUGCUCACAGGCGGGCCUGGCUUCUGGAUGAGACAGCUUUGUGGGAGCCAGGGGAGGAGAGGAGGGGAGCCGGCUCCCCAGAUGGCCUGGCCUGCUUCCUCCGGGUCUGCGGUUUGGCCAUAGACCCCUGGAUUGGGCCGGUGACCACAUUCAUUUCACGGCCCAUCCCUGGGGGAAGGCUGAGGAUGAGGGGAGGUCAGAGCCCAGGUUCCGCUCCAAAUUGUUUCUCGUGGCUGCAGCUGGGGAACGCACGCAGCGGCACCACCCUGUCCCGAGGAGAGAGAACCUGGCCGCGCUCCCUGUCCCAAGGAGAGAGAACCCGGCCGCCCUCCCUGUCCGGAGGAGAGAGAACCCAGCACCCCUCCCUGUCCCCUGUGUGCUUCCCCCGCCCCUGUGGAGCGAGAACCUGGCCCCUCGGGGAGGGCACUGGGCAUCGAUGUGAGCGCAGCCUCCACAACUCACCUCCCAAGCUCAUCACCUGUGGGCUCCAUCCCUGGGCUGCCAGAGGUCCUGGCCCCGCCAUGGCUCCGAAGUGCACCGCCCGGGGACCACAUCACAAAAGACCCACCUUCCCAGACCCCGAGCCAGGUCUUCCAGACCUCGACUUUAAAAACACCGUUUCGUAGCUAUUUUUAAAUUUUUUUUCUGGAAAUAUUGAUACCAUGACGCUCACUGUGGCUGAGUACUGCCUCUCAGGAAUUCUGAGCAAACUGUUUUGAAAGUGCCUACACUGGCCGGGCGCAGUGGCUGACGCCUGUAAUCCCAGCACUUUGGGAGGCCGAGGGGGACGGAUCACCUGAGGUUGGGAGUUUGAGACCAGCCUGACCAAUAUGGUGAAAUCUCAUCUCUACUAAAAACACAAAAUUAGCUGGGCGUGGUGAAACACGCCUGUAAUCCCAGAUACUUGGGAGGCUGAGGUGGGAGAAUUGCUUGAACCCAGGAGGCGGAGGUUGUGGUGAGCCGAGAUUAUGCCAUUGCACUCCAGCCUGGGCAACAAGAGGGAAACGCUAUCUCAAAAACAAAAAAAAAGAAAGUGCCUACAUCGUCACCGGCAGAGCGCUAUACCACACGGUGCAGUGAAACAGCCUUGGGCCAUGUGAAAAGUUGGGGGUGUGAAUGGGACACAGAAAGGUUCCAUUUUGUAUUUUUUUUUUUUUUUUUUUUGAGACAGGGUUUUACUCCGUUGCCCAAGCUGGAGUAUAGUGGUGUGAUCUCAGCUCACUACAACCUCCACCUCCCAGGUCAAGCAAUUCUCCCACCUCAGCCUCCCAAAUAGCUAGGAUUACAAACGUGCACCACCACAGCCUGGCUAAUUUUUGUAUCUUUAGUAGAGACGGGGUUUCACCAUAUUGGCCAGGCUGGUCUCGAACUACCGACCUCAGGUGAUCCGCCUGCCUCAGUCUCCCAAAAUGCUGGGAUUACAGGCGUGAGCCACCGCGCCCAGCCCUAAUUGUAUUUUUUGUAGAGACAGGAUUUCACUAUGUUGCCCAGGCUGGUCUUGAACUCUUGGGCUCAAGUGAUCCUCGCAUCUCAGCCUCCCAAAGUGCUGGGAUUACAGGCAUGAGCCACAGCACCCGACCUUGUAUCAUUUUAAUUAAUUUAAAAUUAAUCGUAAGUAGCCACAUGAGGCUAGCGGCCACCAGACAGCACAGCCCUGGUGUGCUCUGGGACCCAGUCGGGCAGGCACCCCUAUGCUGGCUGGGGCCUGGGGCCGCCCCACUUCUCUCAACACUGAUGGGCAUGAGCAUUCCUCACCCCAGGGCUCUGAGCACCUCACAGAUGGGGGGUUGUGCCACCCUAGCAGUCCCUGCCCCCUGGGAGGCUGGGGAACCCUCUCCUCAGUGGGCAGAUAGGGAGACCCAAGCCUAGGGAAGGAAAGUAACUAACUAACUCAGGGUCACACAGCAGGGGCAGGAAUAGCAACCUGGGCUGCUGGACUCACACCCCAAUCAUUCGGAAGGUGGGCAAGCCCAGAGUCCCUUUGGCUUGGGGCAUGUAGGUCAUUUUCAGGUAACAAAGCACUUCCCCUAAGCCUCCAAAUAAGGAACUUAUUUUAGAUAAAAUCCCCCACAAGGGUCCUGGGGAAAUUCCUGUUUCCUAAGUAAGCAAACAGAGGUUGAGCGUUCAGACACUCGAGUCAGACCUGGGGACACUUCAAGCUCCCCGGCUUACUCUGGGUGACCUUGGCACCUAACUUUAGGUCUCUGAGCCUCAGUUUCCUCCUCCAUCAAUGAAAACAGAAACUACAUGGCUUCACGAGAUUGCUACGGCUGUGCAUAGCCUCAGUGUGGGGCAAGUGGCAACUCUCAGCAACCACGGGGUUACGCUCAUCUGGGUGUAGGAGGUGCGGGUACUGCUGGAGCAGGGUGGAGGGGACACGGCUGCUGUCUCUGCAAGAGGAAAAGGAUAACCAGCCUGAGAGUGAGUGGGGGGUGAGGUGGGGGUGGGGUUGUCGCUGUGGCAGGUUCCAGAGCUGGCUAGGAUUCCCAAUCACUGCUGCUCUUGGGCCCCAGGUGAAGUACUUAUCUGGGAGUCUCAGUUUCCCUGCCCGAGAUCGGCAGGCUACAAGUGCCCCCCAGGUGUUUGGGCAGGACCCUGGGACCCUUCUCCGGGCUGGCAAUUGGGUGUGAUCGCGGGAAGAGGCUUCUUGGGCCUGCUCCGUGUCUACUGUCACCCAGGCUGUAAAGAUGACAGAGGGCCGGAGCGGCUCUCCAGGCUGGGGCCUGGCAUUUCACAGCACUAGCGCCCUGUGACUUAUGGACCACAAGAAGCUGUGAUUUAUACAACGUGAGGCAGAGCUCCUGGGCUCGUGAGUUCCCUUCUGAGAUGAAGUGCCUUGCAGAAGCAGCAGCUGCUUAGCUGAUGCGAGGGGACUCCGAGGCCCAUCCAUCUCCCUAGGAGGCUGGGCAGCGUUUUGCUGAAGUGGCUGAACACAGGUGCAUCUGUUACUGUCUCCAGAAACCAUCAAAGAGCUGAACUUGUCCCUGAGAGGCAGCUCAGAGGGCAGGAAGGGGAGACCCACCCAGGCCAGCUGAGGCAGCUUCAGGACGCUCAGGGGGAAGCACUUGGUACCACGCCUGGCACAGGGAGGAGGCUUGGAGCAAGCUUCUCUCUCCUGGAGCGACGGCCCGGAGUGCAAACAUACCCACCUCCAGUGGGUGCCAGCCCAAGUGUGAGCUUUAUUGGCUCAUCAGCCCGCACAGCAUCAGCCCAGUUUUACAGAUGAGAAAAGUGAGGGUCAGGAAUGUGAAAUGGCCCGCCCAAGGCACACUCCCUAAGUGGCAGAACCACGCAGAAAGCACAGCCCCGACUCCACCCCGGUCUGUUCAGCGCUGGCCCCACCGGCAGAGAAGCAAGCUGGUGCUAAUAAUUCCACCCCACGUGGAACCGGUGCCCAGAAGCCCCGCUGGAUCUUUGCCGCCUCGUCUUUGGGUGAUAGUUGUUGUCAGGGCUUCCCUUUAGGUGGGCGAAAAUAUCUGUUUACCCAGGAAUGGAGCAAUUUCCCAGGCGAGUCUCUAACUAGCUAAAUGCCUGGUCCUGCCUCCGUCGCAGGGAAGCCGCCCACUGUGAAACACGAGCCACUCAGCAGGGAAAUGUUUAAGCGGCACCCGCUGCACACCGGGAGCGGCGGGGCGAGGGGCGGGGGCGUUCCCGGUGAUUCCACACCCCGGCCCAGCAUGGUGCCUGUCCCAGGAGCCUGGCCACACCCAGUGAGGUGGAACAGGGCUGGCGGAGGGCUGGACCCUGGACCACUGUGCAGGCUGUCCCUGCACUGAGUCAGCCGGGUUUAAAUGGACGAGGUCGCGGUCCACUCGGUCCAGGGUAGGUCAACAGGGCACCCACACCCUCUCAGCCAUGCAGGGGACCCUGGGGGAAGAAGGCUGGAUUGGACCAUGGUCUCAGGCAGGGGCGUGGUCUGGCCCCUUCAUCCUGGGCGUGCAGGGCUGUUCCAUGGGGAUCGUCGCAGAGUAGAGUGCACAGUGCCGGUGUGAGCCCACGGGGACAGCAUGGAGGAGUAGGUCCUCCCUCAGCCUUUGCCCCCACCAAUGCUGACAACGGUGGGGCCAGCAGGGCUUUGGCCCUGGCUGGUGGGGCACUGUGGGGUGGGCUCUUCCAGUGUGGAGAUGACCUUGGGCAGGGGCUGCAGGUUCCAUUCACCCUGCAAGGAAGGGGGCAGAAGGUAAACUGAGGCUGGAGGGGCAAGAUGGGUGGCUGCUUCCCCAGCCACCUCUUGGAUUCUUGCCCUCAAACUCAGCUUGUCUCAAACUGAACUCACUCUUCUCCCCCAAGUUGCUUUUUGGGGGUCCUCACCUCAGUAAAUGCCCCCUCCCCUGGCUUCCCAUUCACCUAGUCAGGAACCUGGGAGUCAUCCAGGCCUCUCCCCGCCUCUGUCCCCACCCCAUUUAAUCAUUCACCCUAAUGUAGCAACCAGAGCCCCUGGCUGCAGGCUCUGAUAUUUUGUAGCUAUCUCUUCCCCUCAAGGCUACACCAAAUGCCAAGUUUUCAACCCCAUCAGACGCCCACCCCAAUGUAGCAACCAGAGCCCCUGGCUGCAGGCUCUGAUAUUUUGUAGCUAUCUCUUCCCCUCAAGGCUACACCAAAUGCCAAGUUUUCAACCCCAUCAGACGCCCACCCCACACUAUUCUCAGCAAGCCAGUAUUAGCCCUUCCUUCCCUUGGUGCUGAGGAUGUUUGACUUAGCAGUUAAUCUGGCUCCCAAAUGCUUCUGGGAAGGAUCUUCCUGGAUCUCCAGGCUGCGGCACCUUAUGCGACUAACUCUGCAUAGGCCCUGGGCUCCUGACCACAGCCCGCUGGGCUCAGGAUAAAUUAGAUGCCUUCGAAUACCAGUGGGUCUCAGAUAAGGAGGAAAAAACCAGCUCGCAGCUACAGACUGGUUCGUUUCUUACCUUCCCCUCCCCUGGUGCUUUAUUUUUAGGCAGGUUAGUGCGCCCUGCUCACACCACCUGCAUUUGGCAUUCGGUACAGUGUGGAGGUGUCACCAGAGAGGGUGCCUGCCCUCCCUUCUUUGCCUCGUUAUUGGUGCUCUCUCUCUCUCCUCUCUCUGCUGGCUGGCUGUCUGUCUAGGCCUAUGUGUCACCCCCUGGCACUUGCUCUCAUUGUCUUGUGCGAGUGCUUUUGCCAGCAGUUUGGAGUGCAGGCCCAUCACCCCUCACUGGGGCCCCCCAUGAGGCCUGCCCGACUGCAUGCCCCACCCGGGCCCAUGGCAGCGCACCUGGAAGCGGACGGCUGAGGACUUGUUGCAGUGCAUGGAGAUGGGCGCGAAGCUGUACAGGGCCUUCAGUACAUCGCGGUUGAAGGAGUUCCAGGGAACAGAGGUGAACUGCUGAGACACGGACGCCUGAGGGCAGGUGCAGACGUCCUCGUUGUUGAACCUGGUGGGGACAAGGAACAGCCAGGCUGGGGAGCAGCUGACGGGCAGGGAGCCCAGUGAGCACCAGCAACACCUCCCUGCAGCUCGAGUCCUGUCCCUGGGGCGACCGUCCUGCCACCUCCUCCCCAGCCCCACUGCCUCCGCCAGGCCACCCCAGAUGCUGCCUUCACCGGCAACGGCCUCACCUCUCCUGUCACCUUGGCGGGUGGGUAAUGGCUGCUCCAGGCUGGGUUGAGGAGGCUCUCAAGCCAAAUCCAAACUCAGCAGGAAACGAGUGAGGGGAGGGGUGAGUGAUGCUGCCACAGGUCUCUGCUCCUAGAACUUAGCCUGGACUCCUCCAAUCUGCCCAGCCGCCUAACAGGCCUGAGGUUCUGUGUCGGGGUUCCCUGGGGGCAGGGAGCUUGUGCAGGGAGCCCUCACCUGUUGAUGAGGUGGAAGUACUUCUGCAGGAAGCCGGCGUCCACAGCGCUCUUGCAGAGCUCCAGCUGCGUCUGGGGGUAGUAGUGCACGUAGUUGACACACAUCUCCUCCAGGAUCCCAAAGCCCCCCUGCAAGAUGGAGAAGACCCGUCAACCCCGGGCCAUGCCACGCAGACGCUGCCAUCCAGCAGCUUCGCCACACCCACGUGUUCACUGCGUCCACUCGUCUGUUCACUGCACCGUGCCAGGCAUGCUCUGGGGAACCGAGUCCCUGCCCUCACGGAAUUGCCACCAUUGGCAGGAGAGACAGGCAGUGAGUGAGUCAACCAGGAAAUUCAUAUCAGGUACUGAUGUUGCUGUGAAGAAAAAUGAAACGGGACAAGCGGAUGGGGUGUUAUUGUGCCCAUUUUAUGGGUACAGAAACUGAGUCUCAGAGCAGGCAAGGGGACGCCCCGUGGUGGCCACAGCAUCGGUGGCACAGCCUGAGUGGACCCAGCCUCCCGGCUGUUGUCUGGAAGCUGUCCCCAUGACCUCCAGCGAGAGCCUGGAGCCAAGGACUGCAAGGGAGGCCCUUUCCACUGCAGCCCCGCACCGUCCACCAGUCAUUUCUCCAACGUGGCUCUGAGGGGAGCAGGGACUCUAGAAGACAGGACCGUGACUAGAGGCCGCGACAACCUCCAGCCUCUCACGGCAACCCUACGGCCUGCCAUCGCAUGGGAGGGGCAGGGCAGGCACCCUCUGAGUCCCCACUGCCAGCUUUAAGCCCCUCGCUGGGUUGCUGCUCUUGGAGCUGGUGACCGUGGAGCCUCAGCCAUAGGAGGAAGAACAGCAGCAGCUUGGAGGAGCUGGGGCUGGAGAGAGCAAAGCUCCCCCGGCAGCUGCUCAGACCCCAGCAGGUCAGGGGCCGGGACAUGACGCCCUGGCCACCCUUGCCCCUCCAGGCUCCCUGCUGUUUGUGAAGCUGCUGUAGGCCUGGGGAUUUCAUCUGGCUGGUGGGGAAGAAAGGCAAUCUUUACUCUAUGGCAGAACAAAGGGACUGGGCAAAGCUCGGCGUGGCACUUACACCAGCUGCCACCCCCUCCUCCCGUGCAGACAAAGAGCAUGGGACAGUUCUGCCCAGAGACGAAACCUGGCACCUGUUGGCCAGGACGGGUUUUUGCCAGCAUUGUUCUCUGGGCCGGAUUCCUCCUUUCCCAGCUUUUCUCAUCCAUCCCGCCCCCGUCAGAUCGGGACGAUUGCCCUCCUGUGUGAGUUCCUGUCCCUCCCCACCCUCUGCCGCCACAGACAUCAAAAGGGAACUGAGUCCAACCCUGUGUAGAAUCUGUUCUCCUCUUUCCCCUGGGGAAGGAAAUCGAAUUUCAAAGGCCACUGUGUCUUGGAUCAGCAGGUGAGGGCUUCUCAGAGUGUGAGAAGCUCAGGUCCACCUGGGGAGCUGCCCUCCCCUUUGAUCCCACCUGGUGCUGUGAUGUGGCCACUGCCAAGAGGAGGGCAUGGGCCAGGGAAGCCACAGAACUGCCCACGGGGACGCUGGCACCGAGGGCCUCAACCUGCAGAACGGCCAUCUGAGAUGUCCAUGGUGCUCACCAGGCCUGGCAGCCCCGAACGCCCUGGGACGUGGCGUCAGUUCCGCCGCCGUGAAGCCAGGUUGGGCAGGGAACAUGCAGUCUCCUCGCUGGAUGCCCGGCAAGACCCUCCCAUCCCUGGCCCCAGGGCCGUGCCUGCAGAAUGGGGCUGAUGGUGGGGACUUGCCUGGGGUGCUCCACCUGCAGAACCCUCUGUUUGCGAGCCCACUCAGUCACUGCACAGGUGCUUAGCCGAGAGGCGGCACAGUCGGGGUUGGCACCUGCACCCAUACCAGCCCUACCUCCUGUUCGCUGUGUGGCCUGAGUGGCUGGACCUCACUGUAUCUCCUGGUGGGAUUGCUCAGAGGUCUCAGCAAGGCUUGGUGUGGUUAGGAUGAGUUAUUAGAGCAGUGCUGAGCUGUGGCAAGCACCCGACAUCAGCCACUGCUGUGGUAUACUGGGCACCUCCUCUGGAGAGAAUAAAGGACUGACAAAGCU